GCGCCCGUAGCUCAGUCGGAUAGAGCAUCAGAUUCCUAAUCUGGAGGCCACAGGUUCGAAUCCUGUCGGGCGCACCA
rnacentral:tRNA from 1 species